CCUACGGGUGGCAGCAGUGAGGAAUAUUGGUCAAUGGUCGGGAGACUGAACCAGCCAAGCCGCGUGAGGGAUGAAGGUCCAGAGUAUCGUAAACCUCUUUUGUCAGGGAACAAAGGCGGGUACGUGUCCCCGGCUGCGUGUACCUGACGAAAAAGCAUCGGCUAACUCCGUACCAGCAGCCGCGGUAAUACUGAGGAUGCGAGCGUUAUCCGGAUUUAUUGGGUUUAAAGGGUGCGCAGGCGGUCUGUUAAGUCAGCGGUCAAAGCCCGGGGCUCAACCCCGGCCCGCCGUUGAAACUGGCAGUCUUGAGUGGGAGAGAAGUAUGCGGAAUGCGCGGUGUAGCGGUGAAAUGCAUAGAUAGCGCGCAGAACUCCGAUUGCGAAGGCAGCAUGCCGGCUCCAAACUGACGCUGAGGCACGAAAGCGUGGGUAUCGAACAGGAUUAGAUACCCGUGUAGUC
rnacentral:rRNA from 1 species